rnacentral:tRNA from 1 species
GUUGGGGUGGCAGAGCCCGGUUAUCGCAAAAGACCUAAACCCUUUAAACAGAGGUUCAACUCCUCUUCCCAAAU